rnacentral:rRNA from 1 species
AUUGAACGCUGGCGGCAGGCCUAACACAUGCAAGUCGAACGGGUGUCGGACGGGUGAGUAAUGUCUGGGAAACUGCCCGAUGGAGGGGGAUAACUACUGGAAACGGUAGCUAAUACCGCAUACCAUCGGAUGUGCGCAGAUGGGAUUAGCUAGUAGGUGGGGUAACGGCUCACCUAGGCGACGAUCCCUAGCUGGUCUGAGAGGAUGACCAGACACACUGGAACUGGGACACGGUCCAGAUUCCUACGGGAGGCAGCAGUGGGGAAUAUUGCACAAUGGGCGCAAGCCUGAUGCAGCCAUGCCGCGUGUAUGAAGAAGGCCUUCGGGUUGUAAAGUACUUUCAGCGAGGAAGCGGUGUUUAAAGAACAAGCACCGGGUAACUCGGUGCCAGCAGCCGCGGUAAUAC